rnacentral:misc_RNA from 1 species
UAAGGGAUAAUGUUGAUGUGAAAUGUAGUUGGUACGUGAGAUAAUAUUCAAUGAUUGUAGGACCCCAAGGGGAUUCUGGAGGAUGAUGUGUUGCCUGAUGGAACUAAAGUCAAAGCAGGAGGGAUGGUGACUUAUGUUCCCUAUUCAAUGGGCAGGAUGAAGUACAAGUAGGGACCUGAUGCAUUUCUUCCAGAAAGCAUCUCCUUUCAAGUUCACUGCAUUUCAGGUAAAAUACAAGAGAUUUUAACCCUUUCAAAACACUCAAUCAAUGGUCAGGCCCAAACAUUAUAUUAAGCCUUGAUCUUUUUAUGUCUUUCUAAUGUGGGAUGUACAGAUACUA